rnacentral:rRNA from 1 species
GUCGAACGAUGAUGCCCAGCUUGCUGGGCGGAUUAGUGGCGAACGGGUGAGUAAUACGUGAGUAACCUGCCCUUGACUCUGGGAUAAGCCUGGGAAACUGGGUCUAAUACUGGAUACUACCUCUUGCCGCAUGGUGGGUGGUGGAAAGGGUUUUACUGGUUUUGGAUGGGCUCACGGCCUAUCAGCUUGUUGGUGGGGUAAUGGCUCACCAAGGCGACGACGGGUAGCCGGCCUGAGAGGGUGACCGGCCACACUGGGACUGAGACACGGCCCAGACUCCUACGGGAGGCAGCAGUGGGGAAUAUUGCACAAUGGGCGGAAGCCUGAUGCAGCGACGCCGCGUGAGGGAUGACGGCCUUCGGGUUGUAAACCUCUUUCAGUAGGGAAGAAGCGAGAGUGACGGUACCUGCAGAAGAAGCGCCGGCUAACUACGUGCCAGCAGCCGCGGUAAUACGUAGGGCGCAAGCGUUGUCCGGAAUUAUUGGGCGUAAAGAGCUCGUAGGCGGUUUGUCGCGUCUGCUGUGAAAGCCCGGGGCUCAACCCCGGGUCUGCAGUGGGUACGGGCAGACUAGAGUGCAGUAGGGGAGACUGGAAUUCCUGGUGUAGCGGUGAAAUGCGCAAUAUAUCAGGAGGAACACCGAUGGCGAAGGCAGGUCUCUGGGCUGUUACUGAUGCUGAGGAGCGAAAGCUGGGGAGGAACAUGAUUAGAUACCCUGGU